rnacentral:lncRNA from 1 species
AGGCUGAUUUGAAAAUAUUUAAUUCACAAGGAGAAAAUUCAAAAUUAAAACUAUGUCUAAAUGUUAAAUUAUAACAAUUGAACUUUCUAUAUGAAGAAAAAUCAUUACUCGCAAGAUUUUUAAGGCUGUUUUCGUCACAAUUUUCAUACCCUAUUAUAGAAUAACAAAAGAUUCUUGAAAUUUACAAAUCUGCAUGCAUGGCAUGCACUCAAAACAUAUUUUGCAUUGUUUCUGAAUACUGAGCAUCAAAGAUCAUGAGUAGAGUUUUGCCUUCUGUUCUACAAUUUUUUUCCCCUUUUUGUUAGAAAAGAGAAAUGAGGCAAAGUACAAGCUGCACGCAGUUAAAUUUUUUUUUUUGGCCCAUGUAUUGUCGAGUAUUUUGAGGAAGUCUUUUAAUUUUUACUUUUAU